ACUCAACAAAUAAAUGAAAUGUAAAAAAAAAUUAUUGUGGGUACAAACGAUCUACUCUACAAAUAAAUCAACAAGUUAAACCAAGGAGGAUAGGUUAUUACAUUGACGGACUCAAGCUAUAAAGAUCUAAUCAAUAUGGACAAGUUGCUCUUUAUCCGGUGGUACGAAAUUCAGCUUUGGUCGUCCUGGAUCUUUAACGUCGAUUGCGUACAACUUUUGAGCUUUUUC
rnacentral:lncRNA from 1 species